rnacentral:tRNA from 1 species
GGUGGAGUGGCCGAGUGGUCUAAGGCGUGAGAUUUAGGCUCUCAUGGGUAACCGCGCGAGUUCGAAUCUCGUCUCCAUCA